AUUGAACGCUGGCGGCAUGCCUACACAUGCAAGUCGAACGGCAGCACGGGAGAAAUCCUGGUGGCGAGUGGCGAACGGGUGAGUAAUACAUCGGAACGUGCCCAGUAGUGGGGGAUAACUGCUCGAAAGAGCAGCUAAUACCGCAUACGACCUGAGGGUGAAAGCGGGGGAUCGCAAGACCUCGCGCUAUUGGAGCGGCCGAUGUCAGAUUAGCGAGUUGGUGGGGUAAAGGCCUACCAAGGCAACGAUCUGUAGUUGGUCUGAGUGGACGACCAGCCACACUGGGACUGAGACACGGCCAAGACUCCUACGGGAGGCAGCAGUGGGGAAUGUUGGACAAUGGGUGCAACCCUGAUCCAGCAAUGCCGCGUGCAGGAAGAAGGCCUUCGGGUUGUAAACUGCUUGUGUCAGGGAAGAAAUCCUCUGGGUUAAUACCUCGGGGGGAUGACGGUACCUGAAGAAUAAGCACCGGCUAACUACGUGCCAGCCGCCGCCGUAACAC
rnacentral:rRNA from 1 species